rnacentral:tRNA from 1 species
GGCCGGUUGGCCCAAUGGUAAGGCGUCUGACUACGAUGACUCUGUGUGGUAAAUCCCAUACUGAAGGCAGUUUAAUCAGGAGAUUCUGGGUUCGAGCCCCAGGCUGGUCA